GCGCGGGUGGCGGAAUUGGCAGACGCGCCAGACUUAGGAUCUGGUCCUUACGGGUAGGGGUUCAAGUCCCCUCCCGCGCACCA
rnacentral:tRNA from 1 species